UACGGGGGGGGCAAGCGUUGUUCGGAAUUACUGGGCGUAAAGGGCUCGUAGGUGGCCAACUAAGUCACACGUGAAAGCCCCCGGCUCAACCGGGGAAUUGCGCCCUAAACUGGCGAGCUGGAGUGAGAUAGGGGUGUGUGGAACUUCCGGUGGAGCGGUGAAAUGUGUUGAUAUCGGAAGGAACGCCGGUGGCGAAAGCGACACACUGGAUCUUGUCUGACGCUGAGGCACGAAAGCCAGGGGAGCGAACGGG
rnacentral:rRNA from 1 species